GAAGCAAAAGAAUAAGGCAUAAAAAAGUAGUAAAGUUGUGGUCACCAAAUGUGGGGCAAUGAAGUUGGUCGCCGCAUAUCCCUUGGAAGAUGCUGUCAUUUCAUUUUUGGUAAAACCACAAAGUGAAGAAACCCACAUUUCAAAUAAUCACUUUGUUCCAACCCAUAUAUAUAUAUUAUCCUAAGCCAAGAUAGCUAGAAGCCAUUCAAGAUUUUGCUUAUGAGCUAUUUCAAGAUCGCAGGUGGUUUCACUUAGUCAUGCUGCCACCCCCCACCCAAAAGAACUUUGGAAGCAAAUCAAAAGGGUUUAGUGAGUGUUUUCAGCAUGGUGGGAGGUGGCAGAGUAUAAAUAUUGAAGUCAUCAGUUUUCACUGUAAGAGAUGGUUUCUUCCUCAGGGCAACUUCAAUCCUUUGGCAGUUUUAUUUCUCUCUGUGUCAUCUGCUUAGAUCAUUGGAAGUAUCAUCUACAGCAUGGCCUGGAGUUGGUUUCUGUUUUGGUAAUAAUUUUUGUGUUUUAGUGUUUCCUUUUUCUCUUUUCAUAUUUUCUUUGUGCUUGUUGUAUGGAAGAAGAAAUGGUUUGGGUUGUUUGCGUUUGUGAUUUUGGUUCAGUAAUGUAUCACAAAUCAUUUUGCAGCAUAAUGUUAGGUUUUUAAACCUCCAAGAUAAAA